CCUACGGGAGACAGCAGUGGGGAAUAUUGGGCAAUGGAGGAAACUCUGACCCAGCAACGCCGCGUGAAUGAAGAAGGCCUUCGGAUUGUAAAGUUCUUUUCUCAGGGAAGAAGAAAGUGACGGUACCUUAGGAAUAAGCCUCGGCUAACUACGUGCCAGCAGCCGCGGUAAUACGUAGGGGGCAAGCGUUAUCCGGAAUGACGGGGGGUAAAGGGGGUGUAGGCGGGGAGGCAAGUCAGGAGCGAAAGCCCAGGGCCCAACCUAGGGACUGCUCCUGGAACUGUGGGGCUGGAGUGCAGGAGGGGCAGGCGGAAUUCCUGGUGUAGCGGUGAAAUGCGUAGAUAUUAGGAGGAACACCGGUGGCGAAGGCGGCCUGCUGGACUGCAACUGACGUUGAGGCACGAAAGCGUGGGGAGCAAACAGGAUUAGAUACCCUGGUAGUC
rnacentral:rRNA from 1 species